rnacentral:rRNA from 1 species
CUCAGAGCGAACGCUGGNGGCAGGCUUAACACAUGCAAGUCGAGCGGGCAUAGCAAUAUGUCAGCGGCAGACGGGUGAGUAACGCGUGGGAACGUACCUUUUGGUUCGGAACAACACAGGGAAACUUGUGCUAAUACCGGAUAAGCCCUUACGGGGAAAGAUUUAUCGCCGAAAGAUCGGCCCGCGUCUGAUNNGCUAGUUGGUGAGGUAAUGGCUCACCAAGGCGACGAUCAGUAGCUGGUCUGAGAGGAUGAUCAGCCACAUUGGGANNGAGACACGGCCCAAACUCNUACGGGAGGCAGCAGUGGGGAAUAUUGGACAAUGGGCGCAAGCCUGAUCCAGCCAUGCCGCGUGAGUGAUGAAGGCCCUAGGG